UGUGUGCGACCACGCGCACGUCGUUUGACCCUACGUCGCGGUCUCGUGGAUUUUCAGGGUCACGCAACACGGUAGCGUAACAAAGGAUGAGAUGUGUUGCCGAUCCUUUAGUCGUUAUUAAUACUAAACGAGGAUAGCGCGGUAGACCAUGGCCGCGAGACCCUCACAGAAUUUUUCAGGUGAUUCUUCCAUUAGCGUAAGUCAUUAUGCACGUUUAUAAGGCUAAGUCGAUUGAGUAAAGCAAUAACACUGACCUAAAUCUUGCAAUUUCUAAAAAUAUUGCAUUUUAAUAUAGUUUUAACUCUAAUUUUUCGUUUCAAAUCUAGUUCGUUCAAGAUUUACGUGUAUAAAUGUUUCUUUGGGAUACUUUAAACGCGCAAACGAAAUUACGUAAUGCGUAAUAUAUGUAUUUUAUGAAAAGCGAUCUGGUUACAAGAUAUUGAAAAAUUAUCUGCGAACAGAUUUCAGAUUUACAUGACAUGUAGUAGAAGGCCACACGCUAUAUUAUAGUGCCAACAAAAAUGACGAGAAAUUAGACUAAAAUAUUUCGGUAUACGAGGAGUUCACAACGAAUUGAACAGAGACAAAUAUACACAUUAUUGACUUAUUGCCAAGCGCGAGUUCAGUAAAACCGGAAACUCAUAUCAGCGAUACGAAGUCGAGUUUGGGUUGGAAUAGACCCGGAAACGGCCGAUAAAAGACAGGGCACGCAUGCUUCUAUCCUUGACUCGUCUUAUCGCAAGGCCAGCUUUCGGAAACACGCCUAGUGGAAGAGGUCAAUGUGGCAUGUCGCAACAUUUCGUCAUACGGGGGGGAUUAUGAUAUAUUUACAAGAUUACUGUCCCAAUCGGAAAAAACCGCAAGCUAUAUUCCAAAAUAUUUUUGUUUUUGCAGUUCUGGCGCAACCCCGCGCGAGAAAUUGCAAUCUCACCUCGGCUGGCAAUGCCAGCCAACGACCUUGGCCUUGCCCGAAUAAGACGCGGCCUUGGCGGCCGAUCGAUGCGACUAUCAGCCGGUGCAAGUGCAGCGAGAGGGGAACUGGAUCUGAACUGGUUCUCACGUAUUCCCGGUUUAGAUCACAUCGCGUGCAUCAAUUACGACGAUCAGUCCAGUUCAGUCGCGCUUGAAAACUGUGUCACGCGUCAUUGUCGUCUUUUGAGCUUUGAUCCUUGGAUUCUUCACGUAAAUCGCGCGCGCAAUAUAACUUCACUUAUAAUCGCGCUUGUAGCAUAUUGCGCAGCUUGGCGACGCUACGAUAUUCCCGCGCAGCGAAUUCCGUUUCAAUCACCAGACGGAAAAUCCUUUUUAAAUUCAAGAUGUUUACAUACUUCUUGGAACAUUACUCCUUAUCGAUACGAUAAUAAAGAAACACAAACAUAUUAUCGAUGAUAUGGGAUAAUGCAGAUACAAAUUACAUAUAAUUACAGUAUCAGAAAGUGAAGGACAGGAUUGUUUCAAAGACGGCUUUUAAUGUCGAUCUUCUAAUCCGAAAUCUUCAAAACGUCACGGCGACAAGCUAGUAUAAUAUUAUGUAGAACUUGGCAUUUCGUUUGUGAUUUAAACCGCUGCUUCGACGGAAAUGUGAGAAAAGUGCGGGAAUCGGUAUAUGAUCUCGAAAAGAUCCACACCGACGCGGGCAUGCGCACCCUCGACCUUGGCACGAGGAAAUAACGCCUCUCCACGGCGCUGUCGAAAGAUUGCAUAAUGUUACGCGAGACGCGAGACACGGCGGCAUAAUUCCGUUUUCCCUCUCUUUUCUUUUUCUUCCGCAUUCGCACUCGUUGCGCAUCUUUUGCGCAGACAAGGAGAUCGUCUCGCGCCGCCUGACAAACACGCGCACCAAUUUUUCUUUUCAGUCCGACAGAAGCGAAUAAUCUCGUUGCGAUGAAUUAAAGAAGCGUACCAUCUUUUGUCGCUGCGGAAAUAUCGAUUUCGAGGAAUGAAUGAAUGAAUUUCAGUUUUUAUCAAUUCGUAUAAUUGUUUCUUGCGUUGUUAAUGAUUUUGUGGCAAUAUGUAAGGAAUUGUGUGCAAUGUAAAGAUCUCUUUUCUUCUCUUUCUCCCUCUCUU